UACGUGGGGUGCGAGCGUUAAUCGGAAUUACUGGGCGUAAAGGGUGUGCAGGCGGCCGAGCAAGUCGGGCGUGAAAGCCCCGGGCUUAACUUGGGAAUUGCGCUCGAAACUACGUGGCUGGAGUGUGGCAGAGGAAUGUGGAAUUCCAGGUGUAGCGGUGAAAUGCGUAGAGAUCUGGAGGAACACCGAUGGCGAAGGCAGCCUUCUGGGCCAACACUGACGCUCAUGCACGAAAGCGUGGGGAGCAAACAGG
rnacentral:rRNA from 1 species